rnacentral:rRNA from 1 species
UACGUAGGUGGCAAGCGUUGUCCGGAAUUAUUGGGCGUAAAGGGUGCGUAGGCGGUCUAUUAAGUCUGGUUUGAAAGCUUAUGGCUUAACCAUAACAAGUGACUGGAAACUGGUAGACUUGAGGAUAGAAGAGGAAAGUGGAAUUCCACGUGUAGCGGUGAAAUGCGUAGAGAUGUGGAGGAACACCGGUGGCGAAGGCGGCUUUCUGGUCUAUCACUGACGCUAAUGCACGAAAGCGUGGGUAGCAAACAGG